rnacentral:rRNA from 1 species
AACGAACGCUGGCGGCAGGCUUAACACAUGCAAGUCGAACGCCCCGCAAGGGGAGUGGCAGACGGGUGAGUAACGCGUGGGAACAUACCCUUUCCUGCGGAAUAGCUCCGGGAAACUGGAAUUAAUACCGCAUACGCCCUACGGGGAAAGAUUUAUCGGGGAAGGAUUGGCCCGCGUUGGAUUAGCUAGUUGGUGGGGUAAAGGCCUACCAAGGCGACGAUCCAUAGCUGGUCUGAGAGGAUGAUCAGCCACAUUGGGACUGAGACACGGCCCAAACUCCUACGGGAGGCAGCAGUGGGGAAUAUUGGACAAUGGGCGCAAGCCUGAUCCAGCCAUGCCGCGUGAGUGAUGAAGGCCUUAGGGUUGUAAAGCUCUUUCACCGAUGAAGAUAAUGACGGUAGUCGGAGAAGAAGCCCCCAGGCUAACUUNGUGCCAGCAGCCGCGGUAAUACGAAGGGGGCUAGCUUGUUCGGAAUUACUGGGCGUAAAGCGCAC